rnacentral:rRNA from 1 species
GACGAACGCUGGCGGCGUGCUUAACACAUGCAAGUCGAACGAGUGGCGAACGGGUGAGUAACGCGUAUCAAACUGCUCGAUGGAGGGGGAUAACUACUGGAAACGGUAGCUAAUACCGCAUACCAUCGGAUGUGCCCAGAUGGGAUUAGCUAGUAGGUGGGGUAACGGGUCACCUAGGCCACGAUCCCUAGCUGGUCUGAGAGGAUGACCAGACGCACUGGAACUGAGACACGGUCCAGACUCCUAAGGGAGGCAGCAGUAGGGAAUAUUGCACAAUGGGCGCGAGCCUGAUGCGGCCAUGCCGCGGGUAUGAAGAAGGCCUUCGGGUUGUAAGGUACUUUCAGCGAGGAGGCGUUACUCGCAGAAGAAGCACCGGCUAACUCCGUGCCAGCAGCCGCGGUAAUAC